rnacentral:piRNA from 1 species
UGCCAGGUAGGGGUCUGGUAUCCCUUUGG